rnacentral:tRNA from 1 species
GGGGAUUUAGCUCAGCGGUAGAGCGCUUGCCUAGCAAACGCAAGGCCCUGGCCUGGGUUCGGUCCCCAGCUCCG